rnacentral:lncRNA from 1 species
UUUGAAAAUUUUUACAAAUGAAAGAGGAGAAAGACCAUUAUGUCGCUAAUUAUUUUUGCUGCUCAGGAAAGAAUAAAGGUAUUUUGGCCUUGAAUAACUCUGAAGUUUACCGACCUUUCCUAGAGCAAGUGGCAAAGGACUUGGUGGUUGGUACCCGAGACCCAAGUUCGAAUCCUAGUUGAUUCACAUUUCUAGCUAAAUUUAUUUCUAAAUGAAAUAAACGAAGCAGGUGGCGUGUUACCUAUCUCUCUCAAAAAAAAAAAACUCUGAAGUUUUACUUUAC